GUUCUGAUUUUGCUAAUCCUAUU
rnacentral:snRNA from 1 species